rnacentral:lncRNA from 1 species
CUUUUUGUUUGCAGUUUUGGCACAAACCUCUCGGGUAGGCGGGCCUUUUCAGCAGAGCGUCCCCAUUGGCUAAUUAGUUGUUGACUGACACAGCUCAGUACCUAUGUGUUAGCUAGCACGCUAAACGACCCUGGCUUUAAAACAGAAAGAAGAAGAGGAUGACGACGACGACAAUGAAGAACAACAGUAACAACCCACAACAAGAAAAACUAAUGAAAUAGGGAGGAGGCGUCCCUCUGCAGAAAGAGUAACGUUAGGCGGGAAAAGGACCGAGGACGGCGGGCUGAGAUCUCUUGGUGAAAAAUGGCUCCCAAAACCAAAAAGGCGAUACAAGACUUUCUGGAGAACCUGACAGCUGGGAACUUUAAGAAGUUCUGCCAAGCACUCGUGGACCGCAGCGAUAAGCCUCGGAUCGCAACCAGCAAGGUGGAAGGAAAAGACUUUCUGGAUGUCACAAACGUUAUAGUCACAACCUUCGGUGAGGCCAAAGCUCUCGACGUGGUUAUUGAGCUGCUGACAGAGUGCAAGAUAAAUGCAGCCGACCUCGAAUCAAAAACCAGAAAGAGACCAAAAGUCUUUGUGGACGUAAGUUGAACUUCACACACUGAAAUUCAAGAAUUCUCUUUAACAUGCGUCUGGUUCAUUAAAAAUAAUACUCACUGGUGUUUUCAUUUUUGUUCCUCUCCUCUAGAAUGGUGACCCUGCCCUCCCUAGAACCUCGAGCGGGGAGUUGGAGACAGAGCCCUCACAGGAGGCUCUGAACAUUGUGGCAGACCAGAAACAAGCAAAGGCUACUAGAAAUGGAGGUCCUGUGAAGGAGCCAGAAGAGGUGGAGGCUGAUGCGGUGGCCCGCGUUCGCUCUGAGGGCGGGGAUCCGUCUAAUGAGUGGCUCGUUCUGAGCCGGUUCAUCAUUCAGUUUGGCCAGUACAAAGGUCAAACCUUCAAGUGGCUGCUGGAGAAUCAUGUGGGCUACGCUGUUUAUGUGGUGGCCACCCACCAGGACGAGCGAAUGUGGAAGCGAGACGAUCGGAGCCCACUGAUGGUUCACAAGGUACUGCAGAAAAAUCAUACUCGACCGGGUGCCUGUGCCUGAGAUUGUUCUUACUUACAUGCACUUCUGACAUUUUACUGUAGCUGUUGCACAUCUGAUCUAUUAUAACCAAACCAUGUCCACAGUCCUGAAGUCUCUCCCCUUUCUGGAACCAGUAGAAAUGUUCCUUUUGUUUUCAGUCAUGCUUCUUGCGGUGUGUAACAGUUUGACAUUA